GGGGGUAUAGCUCAGUGGUAGAGUGCGUGCUUAGCAUGCAUGAGGUCCUGGGUUCCAUCCCCAGUACCUCCA
rnacentral:tRNA from 1 species